GCGUACGUAGCUCAGUUGGCAGAGCAUUGGGCUAGUAUUCCAAAGGCCGUAGGUUCGAUUCUUACCGUGGCCG
rnacentral:tRNA from 1 species